rnacentral:ncRNA from 1 species
UCUUAUCCAGAGAGGUGGAGGGAAAGGCCCGAUGAAACCCGGCAACCAUUUUCACGCGCGGCGUGUGAAAAAAGGUGCCAAUUCCUUCAGGCGCUGUGCCUGGCAGAUGAGA